AUAAAAUAUAAUAAGCAAAAUUAUACUGAUGAUACAUGUUAAGAAUUUGAAUACAUAAAAAAUAGUAAAUACUAAAUAGGUAGACAUAUUAUGUAAAAAUCAUAAGAAAUAAGUGAAUUUAGUGAUAAACAAAUUGCUCUGUGGUAAAGUCUGUAAGAUGUUACCUUAUAUAAAUCUAAUUGUCACGCGAACUAAUUUCCAUAAAACUGCAUUACAAAGUUAUUUUAAAGAUUGAACUGGGUCAUCUAAAGUCUCUCUUAAAAUAAAUUGAUGGAUACACUAGUAGCAGCCUAUCAAGCCAUACAAUGUCAGCUCAGUUACUGUCUUUCAAAUAAAACACAUUUCAUUUGAAUUCAAGAAUAACACAGAGAAAACUAACCCGGACAAGAUGUAGCAGAUCAAUGUCAAUCUCAUAAAUUUAUAAAAAGGAUACAAUGUAGCAUAUUGAAAUACUGUAGCUGUGUUAAGACCUCCAAGCUUGGGCUUUAAGUAUACAAUUUACAAUUAAAAAUCUACGGGGGAUACCAAUGUCCAGCAGUUGAGAACCAGCAAAAUACGAGUAAAAAAGUAUUACUAUACUUACGCAAAGGUGAUAAAUAAACUAGAAACAGACGACGGUAGUAAAAUAUUUGGACAUGAAGUGGUUUUAGCAUCGGCUAUCAACUGAACCAGUCGUUGAUCUCCAGUGAUGAACAUAGUUUUCUUCUUUCUUGAGCACAGUUAUAAGUUAUAACAUCUUACAAUUCUCAGAGAAGUUAAUGAAGGGCCAAAGAAACAAAAACACAAUAUUUUGAUUGGUGGCAAUUAUUAACUACUUUACAUAUUUUAUAACUAUUUAGAUUUUGAAGUAACAUUUGCAAUCGCUUUCACUUUUUAUUACCUCAACUUUUUCUAAUUAUACAACUAAUUAUUUUGGUUCUUUCUUUCUCAGACAUUAUAUACAGUCAUAAAAUUAAUAGUCCUUUGUUUCUUAAUAUUAUGUGUUGUAACAUAAGAAGAGUAAAUACUAAAUUAGAUGAUCUACUACUUUUCUUAGAGAAUGAUAAAAAAAAUAUGCUUUUAGAUAUAAUAAUUUUAACCAAAACUUGGCGUGACGUUAAUUGUUGAAAUAUAUCUAUCUGUGAUUAUAAUGCUUAUUUUACUAAAAU